AUGUUUUAUUUGUUAGCAUAGCAUGAUAUUAGAUUUAAACACUUAAUACAUUUUUAAAUCAAUCACUUUGUCUCUGUUUACAUUAGUUAAUGCACAAUGAACAUUAUCAAAUAUUAUUAAUGUUGUAAAAUAUAUUGUUCAUUGUUAGUUCAUAUUAGCUAAGGCAUUACCAAAUGUUAAGGAAUAAACUCUUAUAGUAAAGUGUUACUAAAUUUUCUUUUACCAUUUCCUUCACAAUGUUUAUUUAUUUCUAUGGCUAACAGAUUUUGUAACAUUUGUCUUUUUUACAGUCUUACCAUUGCUUGUAAGCUGGAUUGGGUAAGAUGGAUCAUCUUUAAAGGCACCAGGAGUUAAGGCAGAUGUGGAGGCACAACGGGUGAUACCAGACACACCAAGCACAUUAUGUUCAGACAUUCAAUCAUGACAGGAUCCAGGUGGAUGCUGUCCAUUGAGAAAAGAGUUUGUUCAGCGGUUUCUGGAUAGAAUUAAUUCCAAAGAUGGGAAAAAGUGCACAUCCAGACAAGGAGCAAGCAAAAAGACAAGGAACUUGGUGCAGAGAAAAGCUGUGGCCAUUAACCCCCAUGUGAACAGCUUCAUGCAGUCCCUGAUUGAGUUCGAAUGGACGACUUCAAAGUAAAGGCCACUGUGGUCUGUCUGCCACAGUUUAAUGCAUUUAUUUUUUGUGUUAAAUGAAAUUCCAGUAGAAUAUUUAAAACUAUGGGCCAGUGUUGUUUUUACCACAGUGAAAUGUUACCUUUUAGUCGAUGAUGGACUUUAAACUGAAAACUUCAAACUAUGGAACAGUGUUCUAUUUGCCAGAGUUAAAUAUGUUACAGCAGGGGUCUCCAAACUUGUUUAUACUUGUUGAUUUUAUUUUAUGUUACUUGAUUAUAUGUUUAUUAUUGUUUAAAAUCUUGUUUUAAAUAUGUUUGUUUCAAUUAAAUGUUUUUUUAAAUAAA